rnacentral:rRNA from 1 species
GUGGGGAAUAUUGGACAAUGGGGGGAACCCUGAUCCAGCCAUGCCGCGUGUGUGAAGAAGGCCUUUUGGUUGUAAAGCACUUUAAGCGAGGAGGAGGCUACCGAGAUUAAUACUCUUGGAUAGUGGACGUUACUCGCAGAAUAAGCACCGGCUAACUCUGUGCCAGCAGCCGCGGUAAUACAGAGGGUGCAAGCGUUAAUCGGAUUUACUGGGCGUAAAGCGCGCGUAGGUGGCCAAUUAAGUCAAAUGUGAAAUCCCCGAGCUUAACUUGGGAAUUGCAUUCGAUACUGGUUGACUAGAGUAUGGGAGAGGAUGGUAGAAUUCCAGGUGUAGCGGUGAAAUGCGUAGAGAUCUGGAGGAAUACCGAUGGCGAAGGCAGCCAUCUGGCCUAAUACUGACACUGAGGUGCGAAAGCAUGGGGAGCAAACAGGAUUAGAAACCCUGGUAGUCC